rnacentral:rRNA from 1 species
GACGAACGCUGGCGGCGUGCUUAACACAUGCCAGUCGAACGGAGUGGCGAACGGGUGAGUAACACGUGGGUGAUCUUCCUCGCACUUCGGGCUAAGCUUGGGAAACUUGGUCUAAUACCGGCUAUUGCAGGAUGGGCUCGCGGCCUAUCAGCUUGUUGGUGGGGUAAUGGCCUACCAAGGCGCCGACGGGUAGCCGGCCUGAGAGGGUGUACGGCCACAUUGGGGCUGGGAUGCGGGCCAGACUCGUACGGGGGGCAGCAGUGGCGAUAGUUGCGCAAUGGGCGGAAGCCUGAUGCAGGGACGCCGGGUUGGGGAUGAAGGCUUUCGGGUUGUAAACUCCUUACGACAGGGACGCGGUACCUGUAUAAGAAGCACCGGCUAAAUACGUGCCAGCAGCCGCGGUAAUAC